rnacentral:tRNA from 1 species
GGCGCUUUAGCUCAGUCGGUAGAGCAAGGGACUGAAAAUCCCUGUGUCCCCAGUUCGAUUCUGGGAGGCGCCA